rnacentral:lncRNA from 8 species
AUGGUAACGCAGGGGAAUCAUAAGGAACGGAUUAGUCUCUUCCUUAUCGACUCACCUGGGUUUCCGGUGGUGCUGGGGGUUCCCUGGCUGGCUAGUCACAAUCCCCGGUUUUCGUGGAGACAGGGGGUUCUCCAGGGGUGGUCAGAGGAGUGUUCAGGAAGGUGUAUAGGAGUUUCCAUCGGUGCCACGUCGGUGGAGACUCCAGACCAGGUUUCCACUGUGCGCAUCCCCCCUGAAUACGCCGAUUUGGCGAUCGCUUUCUGUAAGAAGAGGGUGACCAAAUUGCCACCUCAUCGACAGGGGGAUUGUGCGAUAGAUCUCCAGGUAAACGCUGUACUUCCCAAGAGUCACGUGUAUCCUUUGUCACAGGAGGAGACGUUGGCUAUGGAGACAUAUGUCAGGGAAUCUCUGGGACAGGGGUACAUUCGGCCCUCCAUUUCACCCGCCUCCUCGAGUUUCUUUUUUGUGAAGAAAAAGGAGGGAGGUCUGCGUCCGUGCAUUGAUUACAGAGGUCUAAAUUCUAUUACGGUGGGGUUUAGUUACCCGCUACCUCUGAUCGCUACGGCGGUGGAAUCAUUUCACGGCGCAAGGUUCUUCACAAAACUGGACCUCAGGAGCGCGUAUAACCUGGUGCGUAUCAAGAAGGGAGACGCACCAGGAGCGCACCCGGACCCCUCUCUAGCCUUAAUAGUGGAGGUGGACGCAUCCGAGGCUGGGGUGGGUGCCGUUCUGUCACAGCGCUCGGGUACGCCACCUAAACUCCGCCCCUGCGCUUUCUUUUCGAAGAAGCUCGGUCCGGCGGAGCGUAACUAUGAUGUGGGGGACCGGGAGUUGUUAGCGGUGGUAAAAGCCCUGAGGGUGUGGAGACACUGGCUUGAGGGGGCUAAGCACCCCUUUCUCAUCUGGACCGACCAUCGGAACCUGGAGUAUAUCCGGGCAGCCCGGAGACUGAAUCCGCGUCAGGCAAGGUGGGCCAUGUUCUUCUCCCGGUUCAGGUUUACUAUUUCCUACAGACCGGGCUCCCUGAACACGAAGGCCGGCGCGCUGUCCCGUCUUUAUGACACAGAGGACCGGCCCAUCGAUCCAACUCCCAUCAUUCCGGCGUCUAGGCUGGUGGCACCGGUGGUAUGGGAGAUGGACUCAGACAUCGAGCGGGCGUUAAGGGUGGAACCUGCACCUUCACAGUGUCCCACGGGUCGCUUGUACGUGCCGCUUGGUGUUCGGGAUCAAUUGAUUCGAUGGGCCCACACUCCACCCUCUUCGGGUCAUCCGGGUGUGGCGAGGACAGUGCGGGGUCUCAGGGGGAAGUACUGGUGGCCCACCUUGGCUAAGGACGUUAGGGUCUACGUCUCUUCCUGUUCGGUAUGCGCCCAGAGUAGGGCUCCUAGGCACCUUCCGAGAGGGAAGUUACAGCCCCUCCCCGUUCCACAACGGCCAUGGUCGCACCUGUCAGUGGACUUCCUGACCGAUCUCCCCCCGUCUCAGGGGAACACUACGGUCCUGGUUGUUGUGGAUUGGUUUUCAAAGUCCUGCCGUCUCCUCCCGUUGCCCGGUCUCCCUACGGCCCUACAGACUAUUUACCCACGUCUUCCGGCACUACGGGGUGCCGGAGGACAUUGUCUCUGA